UGGAUGGAAAGGGAAACACAAUGGGCGCCAUUUUUUGGUUCCUAGCAGACGUAUGGCAAGCUCCAACAUGGUCGUCAAUAGAUUAUAAUCUCAAAUGGAAGAUGCUGCAUUAUUAUGCUAAACGUUUCUUUAGUCCUACCAUAAUAUCUCCAUAUCUGGAAGGAGAAAAUCUGCACAUAUAUAUUGUAAAUGACGAAUUGCCGUCCAUUGAAGAAAGACACUCCACUACAAACCGGUUACAGUUCAGACCAAUGACGCCAUUAGAAAUAGAUGAGAAAUUUCCAAGUAACCAUAAAGAAGACAAAUUGAGGAAAACAGAACAGGCUAUACAUGGUACUGUUAUAAUGGAGAUGUAUAACUGGGGCACAUUUACACCACUUAAAACAUGGAAUAUUUCCUUCAAGUUAAACCACACUACAGGCUCGGUUUUUCAGAGACCCAUAAAUGAAGUUCAGUCUGACGCUGGUUGCGUACAUAAUAAAAGUUGUUUUCUUUAUUUUUAUCUCAACUCUAAAUCUAAUCCAACCAGUACAUCAUGGCUGCCAUUAACAUAUUUUACAGAUACUCAAGGUUUUAUACCAAAAGCUAAU